AAAUUCUUAAAGUACUUGAAAAUCCAAGACUAUUUUCAUUUUGUAACUAUUUUCAAAUGUAUUUAACAUUUAGGUUCAAAGCCAGGAGCAGUGGCAAAGCACCUGUUGUCCCAGCUACUUGAGAGGCUGGAGCUGGAAGAUCACUUAAGGCCAAGAGUUCAAGACCAGCCCGGAUGACAUAGAGAGAUUCCCAUCUUUUUUAAAAAAGUACAGAUACCCUGCAUAUUUUUGGCCUCAUAUGAAGAAAGAAAUGUUUUUGAAAGUUUACGUGUGUGCAUUUAUCAUCAUAAAUACAUUUAAUUCAUUGUAAAGACAUAGCAAGAUAAUCAGCUGUCUGAUAAUUAUAAGGUGUUGAUUAGAAAAUAGGUACUUACUUUAAAUAAAAUUGUUAUAUUAAACUA
ensembl:lncRNA GPC5-AS2 GPC5 antisense RNA 2